AUUGAACGCUGGCGGCAGGCCUAACACAUGCAAGUCGAACGAGUGGCGGACGGGUGAGUAAUGUCUGGGAAACUGCCUGAUGGAGGGGGAUAACUACUGGAAAAGGUAGCUAAUACCUCAUACCAUUGGAUGUGCCCAGAUGGGAUUAGCUAGUAGGUGGGGUAAAGGCUCACCUAGGAGACGAUCCCUAGGUGGUCUGAGAGGAUGACCGGCCACACGAGAACUGAGACACAGUCCAGACUCCUACGGGGGGAACCAGUGGUGAAUAUUGUCCAAUUGGCGCAAGCCCAAUUCAGCCAUGCCGCGUGUCUGAAGAAGGCCUUGUAGUUGUAAUGUACUUUCAACGGGGAGGCGUUACCCGCAGAAGAAGCACCGGCUAACUCCUUGCCAGCAGCCGCGGUAAUUC
rnacentral:rRNA from 1 species